rnacentral:lncRNA from 1 species
GGUGGGUUUGACCGGGUUCAAAUGCAGAUGUGGAACCACGUUCUGUGGGGCUCAUAGGUACCCGGAGAAACACGGCUGCACCUUCGACUUCAAGUCAAUCGGAAGAGAGGAGAUUGCUCGAGCAAACCCCGUCGUCAAAGCCGACAAACUAGAGAGGAUUUAAACGAUUUCUUAGGCCUUAUGACUCUACCAUGGUGAAGAUUGAGAGCAAAGUUCACGGUGGCCAAUCAUCCGAUCACCUUCGCUGCCGUGCAAUCUCUCUUUCAGCCGUCCGGUCCCCGUUCAACGUCGCACUCGCUGCUGCUACUGGUCUCUUUCUCUC